rnacentral:lncRNA from 1 species
UUAGUUGCGAGUGUGCAAAGCAAUACUUAAUUAUAUAAUCACUACUAGAUCUUCAUUCUUCUCUAAAGGGGAGCCGCCGUGAACACAUUACUGCACCACCUUCUUUUUCUUCUUCUUCUUCUUCUUCACAAACACUCUCCUAUCCAUCACUUUCCUUUAUUCAACGUUCAUCUUCUUCUCUUUUAUGGAGUUGUGUUGCUGUUGGAGGAUGUGAGACAUACCAUCUCCACGUCACCAUAGUAAUCACCACUGGAGACCAAACAUUACGGGUAAUGACGUUGUGAGGGUGCACAUCAUCACUUUUCCACCUGAUCCAACAGAUUUUCAGUGUUUUCUUUAACAAAAUUAUAUCAUGGCAAUGAUAACUCUUCAAAUUUUACCGUAAAUAACAGGCCAUUUUCGGGAGAAGAAGAGACGGGUGUUACAUCACUAUCCUAGACCUAAUGUUAAAACUUAAAACUCACAAUCCUAAAUCUAUAUAUAUAUAGCCUUUUGCUUAAUUUUUCCUUAAGUUACAAUUAUAAGUCUUAGAAACUGUAGUUAACUUGUUAACAGAACAAAACUCGCACAUUUAUGAAAAUGGCACAUCAGGUGUAUAUUAGGUGUUAAAGACAAACUAAUACUCCUUUUAAUUGCAUUUGAUUUAAUGUCUAAUGUUAAUGCAUACAAAUUUUUAUAAAAUUUAUUUCGAUUAUAUAAAAAUGCUAAACAAAUUAAUUUAAGGACAAUUCUCUCAAAUAGCCAUUUUUAAGUUUUUGUCACAAAAAUAGCCCUCAAAAAAAGAAAAUGACCAAAAUAGCCCAUUUUUAUUUUGAAAAUUUUAAUAUUUAUUUUUUAGUUUUUUUUUAAUUUGAAACUCUAUCCCCAAAACCUCACC